rnacentral:rRNA from 1 species
UACGUAGGGUGCAAGCGUUGUCCGGAUUUAUUGGGCGUAAAGAGCGUGUAGGCGGCUUCACAGGUCCGCUGUGAAAACUCGAGGCUCAACCUCGAGCUGUCGGUGGAAACCGUGUGGCUAGAGUCCGGAAGAGGAGAGUGGAAUUCCCGGUGUAGCGGUGAAAUGCGCAGAUAUCGGGAAGAACACCCGUGGCGAAGGCGGCUAUCUGGGCUGCAACUGACGCUGAGGCGCGAAGGCUAGGGUAGCAAACAGG